rnacentral:rRNA from 1 species
GUGGGGUGUGUAAGCGUAGCGAUACGUUGAGCUAACCCAUACUAAUUACCCGUGAGGCUUAACCAUACAACACCCAAGAAGUGUU